rnacentral:rRNA from 1 species
CUAAACCAUGCACCGAAGCUGCGGCAGCGACACUGUGUGUUGUUGGGUAGGGGAGCGUUCUGUAAGCCUGUGAAGGUGGCCUGUGAGGGUUGCUGGAGGUAUCAGAAGUGCGAAUGCUGACAUAAGUAACGAUAAAGCGGGUGAAAAGCCCGCUCGCCGGAAGACCAAGGGUUCCUGUCCAACGUUAAUCGGGGCAGGGUGAGUCGACCCCUAAGGCGAGGCCGAAAGGCGUAGUCGAUGGGAAACGGGUUAAUAUUCCCGUACUUGGUGUUACUGCGAAGGGGGGACGGAGAAGGCUAUGUUGGCCGGGCGACGGUUGUCCCGGUUUAAGCGUGUAGGUGUGUGUUCCAGGUAAAUCCGGUU